UACGUAGGGUGCGAGCGUUGUCCGGAAUUAUUGGGCGUAAAGAGCUCGUAGGCGGUCUGUCGCGUCUGCUGUGAAAACCCGAGGCUCAACCUCGGGCCUGCAGUGGGUACGGGCAGACUAGAGUGCGGUAGGGGAGAAUGGAAUUCCUGGUGUAGCGGUGAAAUGCGCAGAUAUCGGGAGGAACACCCGUAGCGAAGGCGGCACUCUGGGCCGGAACUGACGCUGAGGAGCGAAAGCGUGGGGAGCAAACAGG
rnacentral:rRNA from 1 species